rnacentral:rRNA from 1 species
UGGAGAGUUUGAUCCUGGCUCAGGAUGAACGCUAGCGGCAGGCCUAAUACAUGCAAGUCGAACGAGAUUGAGGAGCUUGCUCCUCAUGAAAGUGGCGCACGGGUGCGUAACGCGUAUGCAACCUACCUGUAACAAGGGGAUAGCCCGGAGAAAUCCGGAUUAAUACCGUAUAAAAUCACAGUAUCGCAUGGUACAAUGAUUAAACAUUUAUGGGUUACAGAUGGGCAUGCGUGACAUUAGCUGGUUGGUGAGGUAACGGCUCACCAAGGCGACGAUGUCUAGGGGCUCUGAGAGGAGAAUCCCCCACACUGGUACUGAGACACGGACCAGACUCCUACGGGAGGCAGCAGUAAGGAAUAUUGGUCAAUGGGCGCAAGCCUGAACCAGCCAUGCCGCGUGCAGGAAGACGGCCCUACGGGUUGUAAACUGCUUUUGUACCGGAAUAAACCUCUUUACGAGUAAAGAGUUGAAUGUACGGUAAGAAUAAGGAUCGGCUAACUCCGUGCCAGCAGCCGCGGUAAUACGGAGGAUCCAAGCGUUAUCCGGAUUUAUUGGGUUUAAAGGGUGCGUAGGCGGCUACUUAAGUCAGGGGUGAAAGACGGCAGCUCAACUGUCGCAGUGCCUUUGAUACUGAGUAGCUUGAUUACAGCUGAGGUAGGCGGAAUGAGACAAGUAGCGGUGAAAUGCAUAGAUAUGUCUCAGAACACCGAUUGCGAAGGCAGCUUACUAAAGUGUAAAUGACGCUGAGGCACGAAAGCGUGGGGAUCAAACAGGAUUAGAUACCCUGGUAGUCCACGCCCUAAACGAUGAAUACUCGAUGUUAGCGAUAUACAGUUAGCGUCCAAGCGAAAGCGUUAAGUAUUCCACCUGGGGAGUACGCCCGCAAGGGUGAAACUCAAAGGAAUUGACGGGGGCCCGCACAAGCGGAGGAGCAUGUGGUUUAAUUCGAUGAUACGCGAGGAACCUUACCCGGGCUUGAAAGUUAGUGAAUGAACCAGAGAUGGUUCAGUGAUUUAUCACACGAAACUAGGUGCUGCAUGGCUGUCGUCAGCUCGUGCCGUGAGGUGUUGGGUUAAGUCCCGCAACGAGCGCAACCCCUAUGUUUAGUUGCCAGCAUGUCAAGGUGGGGACUCUAAACAGACUGCCUGUGCAAACAGCGAGGAAGGUGGGGACGACGUCAAGUCAUCAUGGCCCUUACGUCCGGGGCUACACACGUGCUACAAUGGGCAGUACAGAGGGCAGCGACAUAGUAAUAUGAAGCCAAUCUCAAAAAGCUGUUCACAGUUCGGAUUGAGGUCUGCAACUCGACCUCAUGAAGUUGGAUUCGCUAGUAAUCGCAGAUCAGCAAUGCUGCGGUGAAUACGUUCCCGGGCCUUGUACACACCGCCCGUCAAGCCAUGGAAGCUGGGGGUACCUGAAGUAUGUAACCGCAAGGAGCGUCCUAGGGUAAAACCGGUAACUGGGGCUAAGUCGUAACAAGGUAGCCGUACCGGAAGGUGCGGCUGGAAUACCUCCUUU